rnacentral:rRNA from 1 species
AUUGAACGCUGGCGGCGUGCUUAACACAUGCAAGUCGAUCGGUAACAGGUGUAGCAAUACAUGCUGACGAGAGGCGGACGGGUGAGUAAUGCUUGGGAAUCUGCCUAUUAGUGGGGGACGAACCCGGGAAACGUCGGCGUAAUACCGCAUACGCUCUACGGAGGAAAGCCGGGGACCGCAAGGCCUGGCGCUAAUAGAUGAGCCCAAGUCGGAUUAGCUAGUUGGUAGGGUAACGGCCUACCAAGGCGACAAUCCGUAGCUGGUCUGAGAGGACGACCAGCCACACCGGAACUGAGACACGGUCCGGACUCCUACGGGAGGCAGCAGUGGGGAAUAAUUGGACAAUGGGGGCAACCCUGAUCCAGCGACGCCGCGUGGGUGAAGAAGGCC